UGGGGAAUCUUGGACAAUGGGCGAAAGCCUGAUCCAGCCAUGCCGCGUGAGUGAAGAAGGCCUUAGGGUUGUAAAGCUCUUUUACCCGGGAAGAUAAUGACGGUACCGGGAGAAUAAGCCCCGGCAAACUUCGUGCCAGCAGCCGCGGUAAUACGAAGGGGGCUAGCGUUGUUCGGAUUUACUGGGCGUAAAGCGCACGUAGGCGGAUUGUUAAGUCGGGGGUGAAAUCCUGGAGCUCAACUCCAGAAUUGCCUUCGAUACUGGCUUUCUAGAGGCUGGAAGAGGUUAGUGGAAUUCCCAGUGUAGAGGUGAAAUUCGUAGAUAUUGGGAAGAACACCAGUGGCGAAGGCGGCUAACUGGUCCAGAUCUGACGCUGAGGUGCGAAAGCGUGGGGAGCAAACAG
rnacentral:rRNA from 1 species